UGUUGCUACCUGUACCCUUUGACUUCUUUCAAGUCACAACUUCUUUUGGCUAUUUUGGGGUUUUCCGUAGUGCAGAAGGUAGCGUUUGAAAAAGAUGAUCUCCUGGGCGUGUUUGUGGAAACAGUCUUUAUGGUCACUGCUGUAUACUCCAGCCCUGGUUCUGUGCUGGUUGCAGCAGCCUGGAGUCAAUUCCUGUCUGCUUCGUUUGUUCAUUUAUCUUCUGUCAUCAUAGCUCAGGUUUGAAUCCUGGAAUAUCUGUUUCCCUCCGGCACCCGUUCACCUCUGCAGAUCUUGGCUCAAAGAUUUGAAAUCAUGGGCUGGAGCCUGCCGUUCAUUUUUGGGCAUAGAAUUCCAGUGACAAACUUACGGCUUGUCCCCGGAAACAGGAAGGUUUCCCGUCAGUGUGGGUGUAAACCCCAAAGGUGACGUGUUUUCCUCUGACCCUCCAGGCUGGAUUCUGGAAUCAGAUAGAAGCCUUCUGCUAAAACUGUGCCAGCCCUAGUGGGAAGUGUCCCUGCCCGUGGCAGGGAGUUUGAACUGGGUGUGCUUUAAGGUCCCUUCCAACCCAAACCGUUCCAUGAUUUCAGUGCUUGGCCCUGCACCAGAGGUUUUCUCAAAACGCAGGUGACCUGACAGAGAAGGCAGCACCAGCACAGAACAAAGCGUCCUGCGAGGGCAAGAGGUUUCAGACAAGACAUUCAUAAGCUGCAAGUGUCGCUGUCAGCAGGGCGGUGUGGAAGUGCUGUCUGCGUGUCAGCUUUGGGAAAAGCAUGCCUUUCUUCGGCAUCACAGUCCAAUGUAACAGCGAGAUCAUCCUGUUUUUGAAAUGAUGGCAUUUUAAUCAAGUGGAAAAAGCAGCUUGAGCUGGCAGAGUUCCUCUUCUUUCUCCCCCUUUUUUUCCUCCCCUUUCCAGCACUCGUUCAAGGCAGCUCAACUGCGGCCAGGAAGAUUUUGCAGAGAGCGGUUCCAACAACAUUCUCUCCAGAACCCAGACGCCCUCCGCUCCGCAUUCCUGCCAGCAGUGAAUUUCUAGGAGUGAUUUAUAAAGUCAAAGGCCUGGGGGCUUUGUAAUGGAAAUGCUGACAGACCCGGAAGAUGUCUUUGCCUGACAACACAGUUCAAUUGUGAGCACAGUACUUCAUGAGUCACAGAGGGAACCUGACACAGGACUGCUGCAAUUUAUACCGGCUCCUACACACAGAUUGAUAUGGAAAAUCUGUGGAUGGUCUCAGUCGGAUGUGGCUGCAGCCUCAACGCCACGGCCAAGAUCUGCAGGACAGCUCGUAAAUGGGAAGGCUCUUGUUCAUAACCUAAGCUCUAAGGUAUCACCUCAGUAUGUCGGGUUUGGUCCCUCUUUAACCACUGACCAAGGAGUUUUCUUCCGUGAU